CGGGAGAGGAGCAUGCGCAGUGUGUUUACUGGAGUUGUGCGCAUGCUUGCUUGAGGCAUUUUUCUCUUAACCAGCGCAAUGUACUUAGGAGGUCAUGCGCCGGUUAAACUCUGCCAUUAUGCCUCUUACUGGGCAUGCUUGAGCCCACGGGCCCAACUCCUGAGAUCCCAUUCGGAAGCUGCUGAUCACCAGUUUCAAGUGUUUCUGUUUAUUGGGAGACUGCCUUCCUCUGGCACUGGCAGUGACCAAUUAUUAUUUUAGAGAGACUGUUAACGGCCUGACCAUCACCUGAUGAAUAUCAGGAAUGUGGCCUGACAUUCCUGGUACACGGAGCGCCUUCUUUUCGUUUAGAGCAUUGGUGUCUCCACAUUAGAAGCAUCCUAUGUAGCUGUUCUGCUUGCAGCUGCCCAAGUCUGCCUGGGCCUCCUGCAUGAGGUCAUGAGUCUUAAUAAAGCCACUGACCCACACAUUUGGAAUCGUACUGACUUUUCACAACUAACAGCCAACACAUUGCCAAGAAGCAAUUCAAUUGUUGAGGAUAUCACAUCAUGCCAGGGAAAGAGAGAUGGAAUUCAGAAAGCCUGGGAUAUUGCAGGUUUAUCCUGACAGUAACCUCUCCCCAGGUCGGAAGACCUCUCAGGCUCUGUUUCUAGGGAGGCUGACCUGCUGACAAUGCUCCUAGCUGGAUUUUGUAAGCGGUCUUGAAUAAAGUCUUCCUCACUGUUUUAACAAGAGACAAGGUAAUGUUCAUUGAACAUCUUAUACAAAGAGGAAACCUGGCACAGAAGUGGACAUGCACUCGGAGGGAAAAUGCCAAGUGACAAUGAAGGCAGAGAUCAGGUGAUGCAUCUGCAAGCUGAGCAACAUCAGGAAUUGCCAAAAACCACCAGGAGCUGGAGAGGCCUGGGACAGAGCCUCCCACGGAGCCUCAAGGGAGCCAGCCCUGCCCACGCCUUGAUCUUUGACGUCCGACCUCAAGAACUAUGAAAGAACCCAUUUCUGUUGGUGAAGGCUCCCCGUCUGUGGUCCCCUGUCCUGGCAGCCCUAGGAACCUGACCUCUGGUCCCUCUGCAUCCCUGGCAUCACUCUGCCUCCCUCUCUUUUUCUCCAGUGAAUCCAACACACUCUCAGUGAGACAGCCAGGUGGCAAGGGGUUCUCGGAGAAACUCCAGCCGGCCUGCUCGCUGGGCAUGUACACUGGAGUGGAGCCACAGAAGUUCACGGUGUUUGCAGCAGGGAGGAGCCUGGCCACUCCUCUUCCUGGUUGGAACCUGGAAUUUAUUUUGUGAGGCGGGAAGCCUAUACUGGGGAGACUCUUGCUCUGCUGAGUCCCCAUUCCCCCUUUAUUUUCCUUUUUGCCCAAUAAAUCCUAUUAUUCUCAGUCUUCAAAUU
rnacentral:lncRNA from 1 species